UUGCUAUAGGGAGUAACAAGUCCCUGAUAAUUGAAUCCAUUCAUCACUUUGUCAGCAUUACAAUGUUUAUGUUUUGCUGAUCAUUAUCGGAUGGUACAAUU